GGUAAGGUGACUCAGUGGUAGAGUGCUUGCCUUGCAUGCAUGCCGCCCUGGGUUCGAUUCCUCAGCACCA
rfam:Dipodomys ordii contig_12687, whole genome shotgun sequence.